AACUUUUUACUCUUUCAACUUCUUUUCGGGAACCACGUAGAUGGAUCAAUAUAUGAAUCUGUUAUUUUUCUCUACUGUUGAAGCAUAUGAUAAAAGGAUCAUAACAUGUCAUUUUUCAUAUCGCAUGUAUUAUCAGCCCUCGGACAAUAUCAGCCCUCGAGCCAUGCGGCUCUUGGGCUGAUAUUGAACCUAGGGCUGAUAAUACAUGCG
rnacentral:lncRNA from 1 species